GACGAACGCUGGCGGCGUGCUUAACACAUGCAAGUCGAGCGGAGCGGCGAACGGGUGAGUAGGGCGGGAGUAACUGCCCCCCUCUCUGGGAUAACAGUUGGAAACGGCAGCUAAUACCGGAUAGUGGGGGAUGACUCGCGUCCGAUCGGCUUGUUGGUGGGGUAGUGGCCUAUCAAGGCGACGACGGGUAGCCGGCCUGGGAGGGCGACCGGCCACAUUGGGCUACGCUACGGCCCAAACUGCUACGGUAGGCAGCAGUGGGGAAUAUUGCACAAUGGGGGAAACCCUGAUGCAGCAACCCGCGUGCGUGAUGACGGCCUUCGGGUUGUAAACCGCUUUCAGCCAUGACGCGGUAGUGGCAGAAGAAGCGCCGGCUAACUACGUGCCAGCAGCCGCGGUAAUAC
rnacentral:rRNA from 1 species